rnacentral:rRNA from 1 species
UACGGGGGGGGGCAAGCGUUGUUCGGAAUUACUGGGCGUAAAGCGCGCGUAGGCGGACCUGCAAGUCGGGGGUGAAAGCCCGAGGCUCAACCUCGGAACUGCCUUCGAUACUGCGGGUCUCGAGUCCGGGAGAGGUGAGUGGAAUUCCUAGUGUAGAGGUGAAAUUCGUAGAUAUUCGCAAGAACACCAGUGGCGAAGGCGGCUCACUGGCCCGGUACUGACGCUGAGGUGCGAAAGCGUGGGGAGCAAACAGGG